AGAAAUAGAUGGGAAUUGGUUCUUCCACUCUAUUAUAGUGGGGGAGCCUAAAAUAGGGUGAAAUCUCUUAAAUUUGAGGGGGUUUAGUUGAGUUAUGUGGUGUUCUUGGCCUAAAAUAGGGUGAAAUCCCUUGAUUUGAGGGCUUUUAGUUGAGUUAUGUGGUGUUUUUGGCCUCAAAAAUGGUCAACCAGCCGGAGAUUUUGGCCGGGAUGGAGGCCGGGACCCCGUUGACCUGAAGGAGAGAGAAGCGGGUAGAACACAACGCCUCCAUGAGUUAACCUCAAAUUUUGGGGAGAAAAAGUCGAGGAAAUGGUUUUCCAUCCCACCAGUCUUGGGGAGCCUAAAAUAAGGUGAAAUCCCUCAAAUUUGGGAGGGUUUAGUUAAGUUAUUUGGUGUUCUUGGCCUCAAAAAUGGUCAACGGGUCAGAGAUUUUGGCCGGGAUGGAGGCCAGGCCCCCCAAAUUAAUGGAAAAAAAGGCAUUUUUGGUCAAAAUAAAGGGCAGGGCAGCUGAGUGGAGAUCUCUUGGUGGUGGGAUGAAGGACAAAAUGUGGUGGUCCUUCACUUGCAAUAUUGGUGGAAAAAGACGUUGAUUUUGUUAAAAUGAAGGGACAAACUAAUGCAUGGACAUCUUGUGAUGAAGGAUGGCACCCAUGGGUGUUUCCUCCUCAAUAAAUUGGUGGAAAGAAGGAAAUUUGGGUUAAAAACGAAGGGAUGAGCUGAAGGAUGAAGAUCUGAUGAUGACGGGAUGAAACCUUGCACGAAACCGGUGCCCCGUGCAAAAAUAUUGAUGGAAAACCCACCAAAUUUGGUUCCAAUGAAUUGCCAGGCUGACACCGGGGGGGAUUUUUGGGGUGGAUUCAACCUACCCAAAUCUUCUUGUCCCUCUUGAUGGUGAUGAAAGACGAACCACCAAAAAAGUGGAGGGCCCCGUCGAAGGAGGUGAAGCGGGUGGCGGGGACCAGGGUGCAACGGCCGGGCUGCUCCACGCACCCGCGGAUGCCGUCGCGCGUGCCGCAGACUUGGCCGAAGGGGCAGCCGGCCGGUUGGCACAGCAUGCCGCCCGCCGCCCGGCACGUGCACCUCUCGCUGCAGUCGGCGGAGAGGAUGGUCUCGGCGAUCUGCGGGGCGGGAGGGGGGCGGUUAGGGUGGUAAAAUCCUUUUUUUAGGGUUAAAAAUGCAGCGCGCA
rnacentral:lncRNA from 1 species